UCAUUUCAUCAGGAGAUGGAUUCAUCCAACCAAAAAUUCAUAGAUCUUCUCAGUCAAGACUCUCCAAACCAUGCAGAAAAGCCUAGCCACAACUCCCCUCCCCAACAAUUCCCCAAUAAUUUUCCCCAAUCUCAGUUUACCCAAAGCUUCAACCCACAUUUUUUACACAAUUUCUAUCCAUUUCAUUCCCCAAGCAACUAUCCACCAUAUGGUCAUUCUCCUCCCAGCUUUCAAGGUACUCCUCCAAGCUUUCAAGGUAUUCCACAUCAAGGAAAUUGGGCACAACCUAAUUUAGCCAGCUUACAAGGUUUCCAUUUGCAAGAAAAUAUGGUGCACUCACCAAAUCAGGGGUUUGGAACUGCAAACCACCAAGCAAUAUUUGCACUGCAACACCCCUCAGUUAGAGCCACUCCCAACAGUUCUUUCCAUGGGUCGGAGUCAUCGACUCCCUGCCCUGCAAGACAACAAGAAGCGCCAGUUAAUCUCGAGUCGUCAAGUGAAAGCAGCGAAGACAGAGGUGAGGAGAGCAACACGCACCAAUUGGACAGAAGAGGAGAACUUACGGUUAAUUAGUGCUUGGUUGAGCAACUCGGUUGAUCCUACAGAUGGAAAUGACAAAAAGGGAGAGUAUUAUUGGAAGGAUGUGGCUGAUGAGUUCAAUAACAACCGUCCUACAAAUGGCCACAAGAGGACAGUCAAGCAAUUGAAGACACACUGGGGAAAUGUUAAGAAGGACAUUGGGAAGUUUUGUGGAGUUUAUGCUCAAGUUAGACGUACCUGUACCAGUGGACACUCUGAUGACAUGAUCAUGGAAAAAGCUCAUCUAUGGUACAAGAAUCAAUCAAAUCAGAAGAAGCCUUUCACCUUAGAGUAUAUGUGGAGAGAGCUCAAGGAUCAACCAAAAUGGCGAAGUAUUAUCAAAAAGGAAGAAAACAAGAACAAGAGGACUAAGAUUUCUGAGUCAGGAGCUUACACAUCCUCAUCAAACCAAGAGACUGAAGAAGAAUCAUCAAACAAAGAGAGACACCCCGAGGGACAGAAGAAAGCAAAAGAGAGAUUAAAAGGAAAAGGAAAAGGAAAAGCUCAAUCUUCUCCGUUGGGGAACCAGCCAUCUCAGAACAUAGUUUUGUACAACGAAGCUAUGAAAAUUAAAGCUGAAGCAUUAUUGAAAUCAGCAGAGGCAACAGCAAAAUCAGCAGAGGCAAAACGGGAACAAAUAAGGAUGGAAAAGUGGCAGGCAUACAUUAAACUGGAAGAAAAAGAUACCUCUAAUUUUAGUGGAGAAGCUGAGAAGGCAUGAAGCUAUGUUGAACAAAUUAUCUAAAGAACUAGCUGAGGAAUAAAGGAGAAGCAUGUUAUUGUUCCACUGUAGUGCUUAGUGUAUGAUAAGUUUAGUUGUCAAAUUUGGUGUAUUGCUGAUGUACUUGUCAUUUUCAGAAUUUAGCUCUAGUACUAAUGUAAAAGCUUAGUGUACGAUUAAUUUAGUUGGCAAAUUUUUGUGUAUUGUUGAUGUACUUGUCAAUUUCAGAAUUUAGCUCUAGUACUAAUGUAAAAGCUUUUACUAUAUCCCCACUUGUAUUAUGCAAGAAAUCACAUUUUUUACCGCACAUCUCUGCUCUUAAUAUUAUUUUUCAUUCAUGAGUCAUGAUAAUCUUCAUGAAUACAUU